rnacentral:lncRNA from 1 species
CUAAGAAUAUUUUUGUAUGUUGUUAUUUUGCUUAUUUAUAAUUAUUAUGGCAUUUUGGUUGAAAAAUAUAUUCGGUAAAGAAAAAUCUAAAACAGGUGAAAGUAGUCGCCAAAAUACUACCCCUCUCCCGACUCCCAGACCUAGAAAAGAUAAGCAAGUUCAAAGUAGUAGCCAACCUAUAAAUCCAAAUGAACCCUUCGGAAUCCUUGAUAGUGAUCACCCUUGUUUUCAAUNN